rnacentral:rRNA from 1 species
CUGUGUCCUUCGACGCCGGUUCACCGCCUGUCGGUGCCAACUGGCGUUUUGCGGGACGUCCUGUCGGUGGUGUGUCAGGAAUCUUAGUUGUGCUAUGCUUUGCUUAGUGCAGCUCUGGUUUCGGGCCACUUUCAUAAUCCCGCCGCGGUGCUCUUAAUCGAGUGUCGAGGCGGGCCGGCACGUUACUUGAACAAUUAAGUGCUUCAAGCAGGCUUGUCACGCUGUAUACUGUGUGCAUGGAAUAAUGGAAUAGACCUCGGUUCUAUUUUGUUGGUUUCCGGAAUCUGAGGUAAUGAUCAAUGGGGACAGGCGGGGGCAUUCGUAUUGCGACGUUAGAGGUGAAAUUCUUGGAUCGUCGCAAGACGGACCGAAGCGAAAGCAUUUGCCAAGUAUGUUCCCGUCGAUCAAGAACGAAAGUUAGAGGUUCGAAGGCGAUCAGAUACCGCCCUAGUUCUAACCAUAAACAAUGCCUGCCAGCGAUCCGCCGGCGUCCCUCCGAUGACCCGGCGGGCAGCUUCCGGGAAACCAGAGCUUUUGGGUUCCGGGGGAAGUAUGGUUGCAAAGCUGAAACUUAAAGGAAUUGACGGAAGGGCACCACCAGGAGUGGAGCCUGCGGCUUAAUUUGACUCAACACGGGAAAACUCACCAGGCCCGGACACCGGAAGGAUUGACAGAUUGAUAGCUCUUUCUUGAUUCGGUGGGUGGUGGUGCAUGGCCGUUCUUAGUUGGUGGAGCGAUUUGUCUGGUUAAUUCCGAUAACGAACGAGACUCUAGCCUACUAACUAGACGUAUCUGGUAUCAGCAAUCGUGCUACCAGCGAUCAUAUCUCUUCUUAGAGGGACAGGCGGCUUCUAGCCGCACGAGACUGAGCAAUAACAGGUCUGUGAUGCCCUUAGAUGUCCUGGGCCGCACGCGCGCUACACUGAAGGAAUCAGCGUGUCUUCCCUGUCCGAAAGGACCGGGUAACCCGCUGAACCUCCUUCGUGCUUGGGAUUGGGGCUUGCAAUUGUUCCCCAUGAACGAGGAAUUCCCAGUAAGCGCGAGUCAUAAGCUCGCGUUGAUUACGUCCCUGCCCUUUGUACACACCGCCCGUCGCUACUACCGAUUGAAUGAUUUAGUGAGGUCUUCGGACCGGUGCGCGGAGGCGGUUUUCCGCUCCCGAUGUUGUCGGAAAGAUGACCAAACUUGAUCAUU